AUUGAACGCUGGCGGCAGGCCUAACACAUGCAAGUCGAGCGGAUGAAGGGAGCUUGCUCCUGGAUUCAGCGGCGGACGGGUGGGUAAUGCCUAGGAAUCUGCCUGGUAGUGGGGGAUAACGUCCGGAAACGGGCGCUAAUACCGCAUACGUCCUGAGGGAGAAAGUGGGGGAUCUUCGGACCUCACGCUAUCAGAUGAGCCUAGGUCGGAUUAGCUAGUUGGUGGGGUAAAGGCCUACCAAGGCGACGAUCCGUAACUGGUCUGAGAGGAUGAUCAGUCAAACGGGAACUGAGACACGGUCCAGACUCCUACGGGGGGCAGGGGGGGGGAAUUUUGGAAAAUGGGGGAAAGCCUGAUCCAGCCAUGCCGGGUGUGUGAAGAAGGUCUUCGGAUUGUAAAGCACUUUAAGUUGGGAGGAAGGGCAGUAAGUUAAUACCUUGCUGUUUUGACGUUACCAAAAGAAUAAGCACCGGCUAACUUCGU
rnacentral:rRNA from 1 species